rnacentral:rRNA from 1 species
UACAGAGGGGGCAAGCGUUAUUCGGAAUUAUUGGGCGUAAAGGGCGCGUAGGCGGUUGUGCAAGUGGAAGGUGAAAUCCCUCGGCUCAACCGAGGAACUGCCUUUCAAACUGCAUGACUUGAGUCCGGGAGAGGUGAGUGGAAUUCCCAGUGUAGCGGUGAAAUGCGUAGAUAUUGGGAGGAACACCAGUGGCGAAGGCGGCUCACUGGACCGGAACUGACGCUGAGGCGCGAAAGCGUGGGGAGCAAACGGG